UGGGGAAUUUUGGACAAUGGGGGCAACCCUGAUCCAGCCAUGCCGCGUGAGUGAAGAAGGCCUUCGGGUUGUAAAGCUCUUUCGGCCGGGACGAAAUCGCACUCAUUAACACCGGGUGUGGAUGACGGUACCGGAAGAAGAAGGACCGGCUAACUACGUGC
rnacentral:rRNA from 1 species